UUUCCAACUGGACUGACUCAUUGAGAGGAAACCUUCACUGCACCUCACCAGUGCAGACAGAAGACCUGGAGGCAGGACGGGAGGCAUUUUAUACUUCAGCACGAUAUGGGCCCUGACUUUUCAUUUUCUACAUGGAGACAUAUUGAUCCUGCCUCCCAAGCCUAUAAGCUUUACCAGGAGAGAGGCAGGCCCCACCCCAAGAUCCACUAUCCACUCUUUGAAGAAAGAUUAGAGCCAUGUUCUCAGACUUUGGGCUGCAUCCUAAUCCCUGCGAAGCUGCACAAUGUGUGAUGACUCCACCCUCCACCCGAUCCAGAGGGUCUGGGGUGAGACCCAAGGCUGAGAGGCCUCGAUGGCUUCCUGGCCCCAUCUCCGGCAGCAGCCUCUAUGGCUGGGCUCUCCUGCAGGCUGGGUGCACCCCAGGCCCUCAGAUGGUUCUAACCAGAAUCGAUGGGCAGCAGUGACUUCGACUGUAUCAUCAAUCUUGGCUGCCACAAGGUUGGGUGUCCAGGCCCUCAGCUGACCCUUGAGGUGGGCCCCCACACAGAGCUUUGCUCUGCCCCCAGCCCACCCUCAUUCAUCGCCCAGACCACGGCCAGGGACCCAGCUCCUCAUGUCCCAUACCCUGCUCUCACCUCAUCACCAGUGCAACCACAGCACCGAGGCCUGCCUGGCGGGGGCUGUGGCUUGAUGCUUGGGAUUUCAUGAGAAGUCUCUCUCCUCCCGACUGACGUGGUUGCACAAGCCACAGUGUGCCUGGCCACCCCCACUGGGACCGCCUGCAGCUCGGCCAUUUCCCCCAGAGGCGCUCUGAUCUGCCCUCCUGCCUCCUCUCCUGUUCUUGUUAGUAGAGAGCCACACUCUGGGAGCUGUGUAGACCCAGGGCCUCAGAGAGGGCUGGAGGAUGGCUUGCCAGCCAAGCGGGUCAGUUUGGUGAGCACUUCAGAAUGAGACGCCUUGAUUUGUUUCCCUAUUCCAAGAGUUUACCAUCUGGAUUUAGCCAUGCCCUUGUAAUGACCCCACCAAUUUCAUGAAAAAUGGAAUCUGUGAAUUUGC
rnacentral:lncRNA from 1 species